GGCUUGGUGGUGUAGUGGUAGCACGCGCCCCGUUAGGCGUGACAUGCGGGUUCAGCUCCCGCUUGAGGUCU